CGUACAAGCAGUGGGAGCCUCUUAAUGGGGUGACUGCGUACCUUUUGUAUAAUGGGUCAGCGACUUAUAUUCUGUAGCAAGGUUAACCGAAUAGGGGAGCCGAAGGGAAACCGAGUCUUAACUGGGCGUUAAGUUGCAGGGUAUAGACCCGAAACCCGGUGAUCUAGCCAUGGGCAGGUUGAAGGUUGGGUAACACUAACUGGAGGACCGAACCGACUAAUGUUGAAAAAUUAGCGGAUGACUUGUGGCUGGGGGUGAAAGGCCAAUCAAACCGGGAGAUAGCUGGUUCUCCCCGAAAGCUAUUUAGGUAGCGCCUCGUGAAUUCAUCUCCGGGGGUAGAGCACUGUUUCGGCAAGGGGGUCAUCCCGACUUACCAACCCGAUGCAAACUGCGAAUACCGGAGAAUGUUAUCACGGGAGACACACGGCGGGUGCUAACGUCCGUCGUGAAGAGGGAAACAACCCAGACCGCCAGCUAAGGUCCCAAAGUCAUGGUUAAGUGGGAAACGAUGUGGGAAGGCCCAGACAGCCAGGAUGUUGGCUUAGAAGCAGCCAUCAUUUAAAGAAAGCGUAAUAGCUCACUGGUCGAGUCGGCCUGCGCGGAAGAUGUAACGGGGCUAAACCAUGCACCGAAGCUGCGGCAGCGACACUAUGUGUUGUUGGGUAGGGGAGCGUUCUGUAAGCCUGUGAAGGUGGCCUGUGAGGGUUGCUGGAGGUAUCAGAAGUGCGAAUGCUGACAUAAGUAACGAUAAAGCGGGUGAAAAGCCCGCUCGCCGGAAGACCAAGGGUUCCUGUCCAACGUUAAUCGGGGCAGGGUGAGUCGACCCCUAAGGCGAGGCCGAAAGGCGUAGUCGAUGGGAAACAGGUUAAUAUUCCUGUACUUGGUGUUACUGCGAAGGGGGGACGGAGAAGGCUAUGUUGGCCGGGCGACGGUUGUCCCGGUUUAAGCGUGUAGGCUGGUUUUCCAGGCAAAUCCGGAAAACCAAGGCUGAGGCGUGAUGA
rnacentral:rRNA from 1 species